CGCACAAAUGGACACACGUCAACACGGGCAGAUUGCACUGCUGACAGUGGGACACAAAGGCUUGACCAGACGCAUACAGGUGGUUUAAAAGACAGGCCGACGGGUAUCUGUGGAGCUGCCGGCAGGAAACACGCGGGCCGCCUGUCUGUAGAUAGCGCCCGCCUGCCAGCCCUGAAACAUUUUAAUCAUUUGACGGCCAAUUACUCUGGAGCCAGGCAGAGCAGAACAAAAACUCACACUUCCCUUCCCCGGCACUCGCAGAUGGCCCUGCAGGCUGGACCUGCAUUGCCUGUCUUCACUCUACCUGUCUACUCAGCUAGCAUUGCUCCAUCCUGAUACGGAUGAAAAAGCAAUGAAAUAAGGUGCUUGCCGAGCCUGAACAGAGAGGAAGCCGGGGAUAUCCAUCACUAAUCGAAAAUGAUGGAGCCAUAAUGUGACAUGUCCUAUCACACCAUCUAUGGCAGCAUCACAGAGCAGAAAGAGAAAUCCAAUAUCAACUGGACCUGAAAUUACAACCUCCCUCUUAAGCAACUGCGUUAAAUCCUGGAGAUCAUGUCAAAUAAUCAAUCCACUCAUGUUGAAAGGCUUCAAGAGGAUAUUGAUCUUGGUCUCUGUGGUGAACAACCAACACCAGAGGCAUCUAUCAUCGUUUCUGGGCCACGGCCCAGAGCUGAAACGAUCCAUGUGACGGAGGUGGGAGCCAUCCUGCAGUCUGACCCAUUAAAACUCUGUGAAGCUACGUCCAUCUCACAGGACGUCUGCUCCACACGCUCGUCCUUGAGGCACCGCUCAUACUUCAAAAAGUGCUGCGUUGAAAAACUGCACAGGUCUGCAAUUAUGUGCGUGUGCAACUAAAGGCAGCAGUGAGAAAUCUCCUUUGAUAAUAAUAAUCCAUGAGUUCAAAAGGUGCAACGA